rnacentral:snoRNA from 1 species
AUGUAUGAGAAGAUGAAUGAAGAAGUUGUAACGUUCAGGCGUUAAACACAGUCUGGGAAGACGAGUUAAAGAAGCAAGGGACGUUUCGUAUUUCCGUUGAGGAUGCUGACAU